rnacentral:tRNA from 1 species
CGGGGCGUAGCGCAGCCCGGUUAGCGCGCCUGCUUCGGGAGCAGGAGGUCGGAGGUUCAAAUCCUCUCGCCCCGACCA